rnacentral:rRNA from 1 species
UACGGGGGGAGCAAGCGUUGUUCGGAUUCAUUGGGCGUAAAGGGCGCGUAGGCGGCUUGGCAAGUCCGUCAUGAAAUGUACCGGUUCAACCGGGGCACUGUGUCGGAAACUGCCUGGCUUGAGGUCGAGGGAGGAGAGUGGAAUUCCUGGUGUAGCGGUGAAAUGCGUAGAUAUCAGGAGGAACACCCGUGGCGAAGGCAGCACUCUGGGACGUGACUGACGCUGAGACGCGAAAGCGUGGGGAGCAAACAGG